AUGACCGAGGGCAACUCGCUCGGCAUAGCUAGGGGGCUAUGGAAGGUGGCCCUGCCACUCAAAAUCAAAACCUUUAUGUGGCAAAUGUUUCGAAACCGAUUGCCGACAACGGAUAACAUGGCCAAACGCAAAGGACCAGUUGAUGGUUCUUGUGCCGUUUGCAGACUAGGGGAGAACGCAAACCAUGUUUUCUUUAGCUGCGUUCUAGCUAGAUUUGCGUGGAGCGCCGUUCGGAAAAUGUUCAGUCAAAACUAA
rnacentral:rRNA from 1 species